UAUACUGUCACUUUUCUGUCAUGCAUCUGACUGCAUAUGUAAGUUGUACAAACUUUUCCUGCCAUCAUCAUAUCCAAGUGGGCUCCUUCAACUGUCCAGGUCAAAGUCGGUCUGUCCUGAUGGUACUACCUGCUACUUGAUGAUGUCUGGUAUACAUCGCUGCUGCCUUCAACGUGGUAGCCCUCACAAAUAAACUGAUAUCAAGAAUUAACAUAGUUGGUGAUGGUGGCAGGGUGCCUUCAAAAGGUGCCAUCCAGCAGUCCCAGCCUGGAGCCAGAGGCUGGUACUGCACGUCAGAUGGGGGAG